UUAAGUUAAAAGAAUUUGAUAUAUAGACUCAUGGAGUGACGACUGACGACCAGCGAGUGGAACAAUAAUUAAAUAUGCUCAAAGUGUUUGAAUCAAAAUGCAUCAAGCAGAUAACAUUUUUUUCUACUCAAAACUUCAUCAAUGGUGAAGACCAGUCUCUCGGAAAUCCUUGAUGCUGUCUACCAGAACAGAACAUCAACCUGACAAAAACCAUACAAACACAAUGAACAACUUAAAGCCCUCACUCUCUUCAAGCUUACCACUGGUUUUAGCAGCAGUGCUCAAAGCAAAAUUACAAUAUUACAAAGAUUAAAACAUACGGGUAACACUAAACCAAAGAAUAUAGAAGGCCCUAUAAGGAAUUGGAGAAAUACUGAAACCCGACUCACCUCAAGUCAGUCAGACAUCCAUAUAAUGCAGAAUGCGGAGAUAAAAAGGAAAGUGAAAAUUCCUCUUUGUUGAGUUAUGCAUGCAAAUUUUUUUGGCAUAUGCCCGAAUUGGAAAACUUUGGUCUUAAAAAAGCCAUAU
rnacentral:lncRNA from 1 species